AUUACGGCAGACUGGUGUAAUAAUACUAUUUUCAAGCGUUUUUUAAUUGUGAAGAUAGUUUUGAAUCACUAGUCAAGUUUGUUUUGAUUCACUAGUCAAGUUUGUUUGGAAUCACUAGUAGCCGAUGCUAAUGUGUUCCGCUAUCGCUAUUUGUUGAGAUAGAUAUCCGAUAACCCUUGACAUGACAUGUUAAGGUUUCAAGUAAAAUUUGUGUGCAGUGGAUUUGCUUACUACUACUAUUAGCCUACUUGGUUGAUUAUACCGGCGCACUGCUUUGAUAUCGGUAAAGCUGCCACCUAGGCUACGUCACUCGCCUGUCAAACUGAAGAUUUCCAUUCCACUUUUACCUCAGGGACACCACAGGAGACCAGACGGCUCAUUAAUUGCAGGGCGACCAGGGACAAUGAGUUCCUAAAAUCGAAAAUGAUCGCCAGAAAACAGUGGGAGCUUUUUCUGGAAGAAAUGGGGGUGGAGGGGAAAGUGACCAGGCAACAGGCUUCUAAGAAGUGGGAGAACCUUGAAAAGAAGUACAAGGCCCGCUCUAUCACAGAACGCACCUUGGAUUGGCGGUAAUUAAAGCGCUGCUGCACCCGCCCAAUCACCGGCUCUUUAUAGGGAGUCAACAGACAUAUGGGCGUCUGGAGGCAGGGGUACCCACCAUCACCUAAGAGCAUGUAACCCGGCGGUGGAUACCUGGCAGUCAAAUAAAAAUAACUGUUUUUCAUUACCCUUGUCCUUUAUGUUUCUUGGACGGAAUGUAACUGAUCAUUUCGUUGCUCUGUAACAUGUGCAAUGACAACAAAUAGAAUCCUAUCCUAUCCUAUGGCAAUGUUUUGAUAUGUUGAGGGGAGUGUCUUAUGUCUGCAUUUAUUUGAAAGAGCAUAUGCACAGAAAAGCAGACGGACGGAGUUACAAUGGAGAUCCUGCGAGUUUUUAAAAGCCAUGUGACGCGUCACAUCACAUAGGAAAGUUAACGCCAGCAUUUCUGAC